UUCACCAUGCUUCAGCAGCACACCUCUGUGUAGAGAUUAGUCCCCUGAUACUGGUCUGGAGAUCAUCCUGAGGGCCUUUUCCUUUUCUCCUUCAGUUAAAAUGCGCUAGGUUAAGCAAAGACCUCCUAGUUAAACUGUUAGUGAUAAUCUGAGUCAUGUUUACAGAAUAAGUGGCUGUGUACUCAAAAAGCGGGUAGACUAAAAAUGUAAACUCUAGGAGAAAGCUGGUGAUGGAAAACGGUUAUGCUUUUCACCAGUACCUCUUUUGGUAGAGUGCAUGCUGCCUAUGGUCUUAUGAAAAAACAAAGGUUUACACGUAGAAAGCAAGAUCUUUGCAAGACUAUGGGAUCUGUCUUAAUUUAUUGGCUGGAAGAGCUAUUCUAGGAUGAAGUUUGGUGUGAUGUGAAAGAACAUCUAAUUGAAGCAAUUCAAGUCUUGCCAGAAGCUUUUAACACAUAAAGAGAAAUUUACUGAAAACAAACCAAGCAUUCUUCAACAAGGGCUAACAGAAAAGCUGGAUAUCAACAGGGUUCUUGACAAAGGUCCCAAACUUAUCAUUACACCAGCAGUAUCAACUCAUUCUCCUCUGACCAAGACCAUGGGAAUGGAAGCAAGAUACACAGAAGAAUAAAAACACCAGCUGGAAAUACAGGAAGGCACUAAAAAGAAACAACCCAGAAGCAACUUCAAAUGACACAGAUGAUUAAUAUUAUCCAUGUUUUGAGGAACCACACAAAGAACCACACCUUGCCCUUAAAAACUAAGACAGUACUCAGAACCAUUGCAUGUAAAGAGUUAAUAUUUUGGAGUUGUGACAGUUACUUUUCUUGUCUAAAUUAACCCAGGACAGAGUUUAUUGUUAAACUGACUAUCCUCUAAUAGACAAAGCAUGUUUGUAAUGCGACAGAGGGUCCAAAAAUGUGUUGCAUCUUAGUUAAAAAAGGUAAUGGACCUUUUUCCCCAAAAAAACAUUAUUAAUUAAUUAUUAGUUGAGUGAUAAGUUAAGGUUUAAUUCCUAAUAUGUUUUUCCACUGUGGCAGAAUAAUGUUGCAGGACAGCCAAGUAAAAACAUAGCCCUGCUGAUUGCAGUGAGUCUGCACUUGGCGCCUAUGCUCACUAGAGACAUGUCAGUCUUCCUAUGUUGAGGUUGGAGGUUGUUUUUAUUUGAGAAUCUUCAGUGCUUUCUGUGGGAAUGAACUGCCAGAUUUACAAAACAUAACCCAUAGCUCUGCUGCCUUUUACACCAGCCCAUAUAGACAGUAGAUUCCUGAUCACCAUUCCUGCUCUGAUCAGUGCUUUCUACUGCAGCUGCUAACAAAAAGGAAAAGUCUUCUUUCCUGCGGAAAAAGGAUUGAAGCUUCUGGCUCCAGUGUAAUUGUUUAUGGCUCCCUGAGGGGUUCAACUACUCACUUCACUCUUUUGUAAAUUUAUACGUUGAAACAAAAGGAGAUAUUUAUAUGUAACCAUGGUAUGUUUUUAGCACUGCACGGGCUACUAUAGGAAGAACCUUUCUGACUUUAUGGUUUCAACCCCUUUCUCCAGGGAGAGAUUUUUCAGGAAAAUAAUUCAUUGUUUGAGUGGAGGUUAAUGGCAUUGUUAAUUUAUAGAAGGGCAUCAAUAGUUUAAGAGCUUUUUACUUACACUGGUCAAUCAGUAACGGAUAACCCAUGUUAUGAGGGGGAACUGUAUAAGUGAUUAAUUCCAAAUCUCACAUAAACUUCUAAGUAGCGCAUGGAAAAUUACAAAGUGCCUGUCCUGUGCUAAGAAUUUAGCAUCCUAUCUACCACGGAAAAAUCUAGGAAAAUGCACAAGAAAAUGAGAGAGGGCUCUGCAGACAGGCAGAAUUUUGAGCACUUUCAAGUAAACUAUUCUGAGAAACAUAAAAAAUAAUAAUUAUGUUUACAUUUACGUAUAUUAAAUUUAAAAGUGGCUACUAUUAUUUAAGGCACUUUGUUUAAACAUUAACAUCUUAACCUAACAAUGAAUAUAUAGCAUCAGUUUAAGAACAGACAGGGAGAGUACUGCUUACCCAAACACCGAUCCCAAAUAACCCUUCAUAGACUUGAAUUGCAGCAAGUUACUCUCAGGCAGUGGAACUGCUUUUUAACAGAAGAUUUAACAGAGAAUUUGAGCUUUUGUCAAUGGGAAGCUCUUCAUGGGAUUACAAAAUUCGUAGACAAAGGUUAGAUUUUUACUAAGACUAUGCUUAUGUUUUGAUUCUUCACAUACCGAAGUAGUCAGACCACUGGUCUUGCACUGACCUAGGUUUGAAUCUCUGCCGCAUCCUAAUGUAAAGACUCAGAGAAGAGUAAGGAUGCUUCUCUGCCUCUCACUUUAUCCACCUACAACAUACAGAUUUCAAAUAUUUUUUAAACACUUUGCAAUGGGCUGUGAAAAAAAUUAUAUAUAAGCAUUACAUGCUUUUGCUGUGCUUAUUUUUGAAAUCCAUCUGUCACUGGAAAGACAGAAGGCAAGUUGUCAUGCUUGAGCCACGCAGCUGCUUUUCAGACCUCUACUGACCUAAGGCUAAGAAGAUUAAUAAGUAAUACCAUAAUUAUGAAUGGUGGUUAAACAGCAAUCUAGAUUCCAAAGCCAAAAUAUACAGUUCUCUUUCAUGUAUAUAAACUUGCCCCAAAUUAAACAAACUAGCUUCAAAGGUCUACAAGACCAGAACUGAACUCUGUCACCUUUGCAGGCCACUUUAUUUGAGAACACUGUCCUUGAUGUGUUAAAGUUCACUGGGCUACAUUCACACUGUUUGUUAUUAAACAUUAAAUCUGAUUCUGUGGAAAAAAAUAUUCUUUUUCUGGAAUGUUACACCCUGUGCCACGAGCUUACAAUUUACAGCUCCACUGACACCGUUUGAAACGUCAGCCUAUAAAAAGACUUAGCAUAGUAUUUUCUAGUGGUGUUUUCACUUCUGUUU